GGAACUGUUCAGGGCAGAGGAUGGAAUAUAGCCCACAAGAGUCUGUCUCAAGCCUCAGGAGCUCCCAGAGAAUUCAGAGGAUGAAGAUGGGGUCCCAUUUAGCAUGGUCCUGCUGAUGGUUUAUGUUUUUGUGUGCGGGAAGGGCUGGCAUCCGAGGAACCAGCGAGCUGUCUCGGAAGUCCAGGUCCCCAGACUUCUGGGUCUGUUAAGCUCAUUUUCUUCCCUUUGAUCCCUGGCUCCAGGAGUGGAUGGAAGCUGCUUCCUGAAGUUACUAUCUCUAGAAAACAUUGCUGAUCAUUUGAAGAAACAAGUAUUAGACCAAACGUGGGAUGUUUGUUAUAUGUCCUGUUUCAUAGCGCAAUUGGCUUUAUCCUGUCUCAGUUUAUGGUCUGCUGUCUAGGUCUUUUUCUCCAUUGCUGCCCUGCAGAUAAAUUCAUCAGUACCGUUGUUCUAGAUUCCACAUAUAUGUAAUGAACUUUACGCCAAAAGGGGCUAAACAAAUGUUUGUGAGAAGACACUGGUGUCUAAGGUAGGUGCAGCCUUUUCUUUGCCCAUGUGUAUAUCAAGGCCAACAUAAAUACAUGCACAUCAAUUAUGUGGCUUUCACAAAAUAUUACUUAACAAUGAAAGAGUUAAAAAAUAUCUAGAUCUGGAAAGAUGGAAUGAAUCUAACAAGACCAAACUCAACGGGCAAAAAUGUUAUGCCAUAAAGUUUGGGUCAGUACUUUAACUGCCCAAAUAUGGAUGAUCAGGUGACUAUAAACUUAUAAAUCCUCUGUAUUAUGUGGAUACUUAAAAGCAG
ensembl:lncRNA